GACGAACGCUGGCGGCGUGCCUAAUACAUGCAAGUCGAGCGAGUCUCUUCGGAGGCUAGCGGCGGACGGGUGAGUAACACGUAGGCAACCUGCCUCUCAGACUGGGAUAACAUAGGGAAACUUAUGCUAAUACCGGAUAGGUUUUUGGAUCGCAUGAUCCGAAAAGAAAAGGCGGCUUUGGCUGUUACUGGGAGAUGGGCCUGCGGCGCAUUAGCUAGUUGGUGGGGUAACGGCCUACCAAGGCGACGAUGCGUAGCCGACCUGAGAGGGUGACCGGCAACACUGGGAAUGAGACACGGCCCAGACUCCUACGGGAGGCAGCAGUAGGGAAUUUUCCACAAUGGACGAAAGUCUGAUGGAGCAACGCCGCGUGAACGAGGAAGGUCUUCGGAUUGUAAAGUUCUGUUGUUAGGGACGAAUAAGUACCGUUCGAAUAGGGCGGUACCUUGACGGUACCUGACGAGAAAGCCACGGCUAACUACGUGCCAGCAGCCGCCGUAA
rnacentral:rRNA from 1 species